rnacentral:lncRNA from 1 species
GGCAAAAAGAUCGGAUUCUAUAUCCAGCAUGAAGUCCGGUGGUGGAAUUUCUUCCUCUUGUGGCUCAGAACUUGGGAUAGCUAAAGUAGAUGAAGAAUUUGGCAGAGUGUCUACUUCAGCUUCAUAGGUUUCAUCAUGAAGUGUAUUAUCCAUCUCAGCUUCUAGGAUUCUAUCUAGGAUCACUCUAGCUUCAUCAGUAGGGAUGCGAAAGAAAGAACCUCUAGACAUUGUGUGUAGCAUUUGUUUGUAUUUUUCUGAAGACCUCGAAAAAAGUGAAAUAAAAGAACAGGGUCUUCAAGAUUAAGGUUUGGACCAGAUUCUAAAAGAUCAGAAAAACGUUUCCAGGAUUUUCCCAAAGUUUCAUUAUCUUUUUGUUUAAAAGAUAGGACUUCGAGUCUAAGGUUGGCUAUACGGUCAAGGGAAUAGAAAUCUAGACAAAAGUUGGCACGUAAAACUCUUCAUUCACCAUGUUGUUGACUUACCUUCUGACUGUACCAUUGUCUAGCAUCUCCCCUUAAGGAAAAAGGAAAAAGCUUCCAACGUAAAGUCUUAUCAGAAAUGCCUUCAAUGCGAAGACAAUCACAUGUUUGCUCAAAAUCUCUAAUAUGAAGGUAAGGGUUUUCGUCUUCCUUUCUCGAAAAAGAUAGGUUUUGAAUCAUGGCAAUCAACCUAGAACUUCACUUAUACUGGGAUGUUUGGAUAGGCUGUGAUGAUUCCCAUGGUAAAAGGUCAGUUACUGAAGGGAUUGCAGACUCAUAGAUCGAUUCAGAAUUUUGGUUUUCCAUAAGGUAAGAGUAAAGAAAAAAAAUAAAGAAUAUAAAAGAUAAGAAAAGAUAAAAGUAUAGAUACAAGCUAGUAGUAAGACUCAGGUUAUCUCAGCAACCGUCUUUCUCCCCAGCAACGGCGCUAGAAAUGCUUGUUGAUAUUUGGGAACACAAUAAGGAAUUGAUCCGCAAGCGCACGGAUAUCGGUGAGCACUUCACCCGGGAAAUUGUCCAGAGUAUCGUAUUUAUUUUUUUACCACUAGGAGAAAGAGUGCAUCUGACUAACCGGUCUAUUACUACUAACCCUUUAGGCACAAAGAAUGUCUUUCGAUGUGAGUGAUAAAUAGAGAAGACUGCAACCGUAGUCUCCUUCGAACCUUGGUAAGGAUGAUCUACUGUUCUAUUGGGGAGGCUAACGGAAUCUAGACACCACAAAUGAUGUUCAACCCGCACCUAUAAACCCUAUCCUUCCUGCUAACGAGAUAUGGUCUGCAAAGGUAACUCAGAAUUGUCAUGUUCCUCACUACUACCACAGUCCAGCUAGUCAGGGAAUAUCUAUGAGUACCCCAGCCUAAACACCACGUUUACACUAGCAAUGAUUACUCUAAACUCUAUGCGAAG